ensembl:misc_RNA Metazoa_SRP Metazoan signal recognition particle RNA
GCUGGGCGUGGUGGCGCGCGCCUGUAGUCCCAGCUACUCGCAGGCUGAGGCAGGAGAAUCGCUUGAACCCGGGAGGCAGAGGUUGCAGUGAGCCGAGAUGGCGCCACUGCACUCCAGCCUGGGUAACAGAGCAAGACUCCGUCUCAA